rnacentral:rRNA from 1 species
UGCGUAGGUGGUUUAUUAAGUUUCAAAGAAAAUAUUAAGCAUAGAGCUUAAACGCUUUUUAAUACUAAUAGACUAGAGUUUAAAGGAAGAUAGCUGAACAUUAGGUGUAAAGGUGAAAUUUUUCGAGAUCUAAAGGGCAGUCAAUAGGCGAAGGCUGCUAUCUACUCUAAUACUGACACUGAGGCACAAAAGCAUAGGGAUCAAACA